rnacentral:rRNA from 1 species
ACGAACGCUGGCGGCGUGCCUAAUACAUGCAAGUAGAACGCUGAAGAGAGGAGCUUGCUCUUCUUGGAUGAGUUGCGAACGGGUGAGUAACGCGUAGGUAACCUGCCUGGUAGCGGGGGAUAACUAUUGGAAACGAUAGCUGAUACCGCAUAAAAUUGAUUAUUGCAUGAUAAUUAAUUGAAAGAUGCAACUGCAUCACUACCAGAUGGACCUGCGUUGUAUUAGCUAGUUGGUGAGGUAACGGCUCACCAAGGCGACGAUACAUAGCCGACCUGAGAGGGUGAUCGGCCACACUGGGACUGAGACACGGCCCAGACUCCUACGGGAGGCAGCAGUAGGGAAUCUUCGGCAAUGGGGGGAACCCUGACCGAGCAACGCCGCGUGAGUGAAGAAGGUUUUCGGAUCGUAAAGCUCUGUUGUAAGAGAAGAACGGGUGUGAGAGUGGAAAGUUCACACUGUGACGGUAUCUUACCAGAAAGGGACGGCUAACUACGUG